rnacentral:rRNA from 1 species
GACAGAGGUGCCGAGCGUUAGGCGGAAUCACUGGGCUUAAAGCGUGUGUAGGUGGUUUGUCGCGUCUGCUGUGAAAAUCCGGGGCUCAACCCCGGACUUGCAGUGGGUACGGGCAGACUAGAGUGUGGUAGGGGGGACUGGAAUUCCUGGUGUAGCGGUGGAAUGCGCAGAUAUCAGGAGGAACACCGAUGGCGAAGGCAGGUCUCUGGGCCAUUACUGACACUGAGAAGCGAAAGCAUGGGGAGCGAACAGG